GGGCAAUCAAAUAGCAGAGUCAGGUCAGGCCAGGGGUCAGAGUCUAAUGAGACAACAGUUUGAGCACAGUACACAGGGGCAACACAAUUCAAUGGGCAAAUGUAAAACUCUAGGUAAACCUGCUUAGUCUGUUUUGAGAUUUUCAUGCAGUUCCUGACAGGCCACACACCCUGCUGGCCCUCCUACACUGCCUCUUAACUUGUAUAAUGUUUUGGAUUAGCUACCUCAUUGAACCACUGCCAUGCAGCAAAUCCAAAUGCAGGAACUAACUGUGCCCUAAUGCAAGUGCCAGGAUCUUUCUAGAUGCUUCCCUAGAUCCAGGUUGGGAGCAGGCCAUGGAGGACAG